rnacentral:lncRNA from 1 species
AAAAAUUAACUCUGAGGGCUGGCUCUGUGGCCAAAUGGUUAAAGUUCCACAUGCUCUGCUUUGGCAGUCCUGGGAUCCCAGGUUCGGAUCCCAGGUGUGGACCUACUCCACCCAUCAGCCAUGCUGUGCAGGCAUCCCACAGACAAAGUAGAGGAAGAUCGGCCCAGAUGUUAGCUCAGGGCUAAUCUUCCUCAAGCAAAAAAAGAGAAGGAUUGGCAAUGGAUGUUAGGUCAGGGCAAAUUUUCCUCAUACACACACACAAAAAUUAACUCAAGAAUCUCAGAUUCAUCUUGCUCCUUCCAAGUUUUGGACUGAUAUUUGCUAAGUCAUGACUUAUCAAUCUUCACUUAGUAUUUCUUUUUAAAGCUCUUCGAGUAGGUGACAUCUAUCAAUGAUAUAAAGUAAGAGAAAAUGAGUAAUUAGAUUUCAGCAGUAGAUUAUGGAGAGGAUUCAUUAAACAGUCAGAUGCAUUCGGAUGGACUUGAGCGACCUUCUGACCAUCAACCGCGCCUGCCUUGGUUGUUGGUGCUAGGAGUUGCAAACAUUACUUGUAAUUCUUUAGGAAAUUUUAAUAUCGUUGGUUCUGUAUGUGUGUGUUUAAAAUUCUUGUAUAUUUGAUACCUUUCUAUAUCCUGCCACUGUUAGAAGGGGUGGGGGAGGCAGGAGAAACACUGUAAAUUAAAGUGCAGCAUGGUAAAUUCUAGGCAAUUAUCUAAACCAAAAGAAAAGCAAUGAUAUGUGUAGAGUAUUUGGAGGAGCUCACUGGUCAGAUGACUAGGGAGUCUCCUAGUUUUCAACCUCUGGCCUAGGAAUCUGCAGAAAAACAAUCCUGCAGGAUCCUUGCUGGGAGCUUCAGAGAAGAUCCAGGCAAGAAAGAGGCCGUUUGCAUGUGUGUAUACGCAUGCAGCAUGCACGUCUGGAGUGGACAUGUUCAACUGCAAGAUUCCACUCGCGACGCCAGAAUUCGUCAAGAGGUCUGCAUUGUUGUUUCUCACUGAGGCAUAGGACCGACUGCAGGCCAUUGUUUCUCCAGCUCAAGUGGGCCUGUCUGGUUCGUGUGGGAAGAAUGGGGGUGACAUGCAUGAGUUCCUGAGGAUAAAAGAACUACCGGUUCUAGGAAGGAACGGGAGUCUAGCCACUAAUGCAGAGUAAAUAAACAUUUUUCACCACCUCUUGCUCCAUGUGAUUUUUUUAAAGGUCAAGAGCUGCCAUUACAGUAUUUUAAAAGCUUCAAAUUAUGUUUAAAGAAUGUAUCACUGAACUCCCAGAAACCUUAUCAGAAUUUGGGAACCUACGGUGAUGGUUUGGUCCUUGAGUUUAUCAUCACUGGGAGGCGGGGUGUGAAAGAAAUGUAGAUGCUGCGGUGUUUCUGAUAUCUUGCAAUUUAGCUCGAAGGGAAGGUUGCUUAGGUUCUUCCAAAUUUUCUUCAAAAUUCAUUGAAGUGUUGAGACACUUCCAUUUCAAAAUUUCACACAGUCCGUAUUUUGGUCACACAUUUGGGACAGACAAGAAUAAGACUCUGUGGGCCUUUCACCACAAACAUUCUUUGUGUGCUCAAAAUGCAAAGAAUGGACCAUGUUCCUGUGGAGCCUCCAAAUGUACGUGUGAAGGAAAGAGAGAAGUAAAAGGCAGAGGGAGAUUUCUUUUUUAAAUUAAAGAAUAAAAAGCUUACUUCAAGGAAGUGUAGAGUAACAGCAGAAAGACUUCCUUAGCAACUGAGGUUUUCAGAUUUCAAAUUAGGAGCCCUUACAUCACGGCUGCCGGGCUAAAAAUCAAUUCUAUAUUUUCGGAGUUAAUACUAAGGAUUGCACUUAACAGACAUGGAGACGAAUAAGGUAUGCAGAAGGAGUAAAAGCAGCACACACACACAAAUUCAGGCCUUAGUUUUGGCCAUGAUCCAGCACAAUGAUGUUUCAACCAGAUUUGAAAAAAAAAUCAAUAACAUCUGUGGUAUAAUGGUUAAUUAAAGCAGCUCUUCAGCAGAGCUCAGGAGGAGAGGCUCGGCCUGAAAUUCAGACAGCUGAAGCUUGAUUAUCAGGAAAGAAUGCUUUUUUAGCUAUGAGUGGAUAGGCCAAAAGCUGCAAUGGGCCAAAAUGGAGAGAAAAAUUGCUUUUAUUUUAACUUUCUUUAAGUAAUCAAUACAUGCUUUUCACCUGUAUUAGGACACUGCUCAGCUCCAAAGCCUGUUACUCCACUUCAGCAUAAAUUCUACUUACUGUCUUUUGAAACUUAGGUUUAAAAAGGAGGCCCCGUCCCCUGUAAAGCAAAAGAAAAAGAAGAAGAAAAGAACAUGCAGGUGUGGGUGGGUGUCCUUGAGAGCAGUUAAAGCUCAGGCUCUAGGAUGCUCCGAAGGGUAGAAUCCCUAAGCUCUGAGCAAAGCUGACUCACCUUGGGGUACGCAGAGGUCAUAGCCAAAGUAGGAGGCUGCGCAAUACAACAACAAAACUAAAAAUUCUCAAGGGAGCUAUGAGGAGCAGGGUCAAUUUCCACCUUCUUUUUGCCUUCCUAUUGUUUUGAGUAAUGUGCCAGGGAUGUUUUCUUUACUUUUCUAAGGACAAAGAUCAAAGAAUCAACAAUGAUGUCUCCUGGCCACAGACGGGAAGGUCAGCAGGUGACUUCUCCACGAAAAAACAGUUGGUAACGCCACCGCUGACUAUUUUCUUGGCACCUUGCUUUGGCUUCUAUUUCUCGUGUUGUAAUCUGCAUCGUCACGUCAUUGUCAAAUUUGGGGAAGCAUUUGCAAAACCACAUUGCCCUCUCUGGAUCACACAAGUCCUCACAAGAAUACCGAAGAAUAAUAUGGUUAGUCAAUCGGUCAUUUGUUUUUUCCACUCAACACGUUUUUCUUCACAUUGUCACGCAUGUGCCCAUCACCGUGCUGGGUGCCAAGGUUCCAAAGACAAAUAAGAGAUGGUUCUAGGUCUAGGAAGCUCACAGCCUGUUUGAGGGAAGUGUGCUUGUGAACAAAUAAUUGCAAACACAGCAAAAAAGAGCACAAAUAGAAGCGUCUACAAGGGCUGUGGAUUUUGAAACUCCCUCCUGUCAAUUUCACUCGGACAAGGGCAGAGUGAGGGCUUGGGAGCUUCAAGGAGGGGUGACGCUAGAGCAGAUCUUGGAGGAUGAGGAAGAGUUCCCGGGCAAACAAGGGUGAUAGAAAGGCAGAAAAGGCAUUCCGAAGUUAGGUAUACUUACGUGAACUAUACGGAUUGGUUCAGAAGAAUAUACAUGGAAGAAGUGAUCGGAAGGUCUUAUAAAAUCCUUAUAAUUAAUGUCUGUAUUUUACAUCGGCUCUCCUCAUUUUAAGAACUAUGAGGAUCGGAGAUUACAACUCCUUCCUUUGUAGCUAUCACAAUCUACUAGUCUUUUUCUCUUUCAUCUGACCAUAGUCUCUCACUGGAGGUUAGAAAAUUCAUUGGUAUCUUCUCUUCUCUAAAUUAAAUGCAUUCACUAUCUUUGGCUUUUCCUCAGGAGUCCAGUUUUUCAACCUAUGACUUUUCUUUUUAACCUUUCUCUGAGCCCUUCUCAGAUUCUCUCCCUUUCUCCACAAUUUCAAAAUGUGAACUAGAUUUAAAGACAGCAGGUCUGCCCAUCAGUACACUGUAUAUUAAAGUAUGAUUUAGAAGAACUAAUAAUAAUGCCUAACACUUUUCAUCUUAAAAACGUUGGUCUCUGGGUGAAAUCCUUGCCCAAGAAACAUGAACUCUCUGGGCUUCUGUUUCCCAGUCUGAAAAAUGGACAGAAAACCACAACUAUCUCAUAAGGUUGUUAUGUGGAUUUAAUGAAUUCAUCAUUGUAAAGUGUUAUAAAUCGUGCCUGGCAUAGAAGAAUUGCUGAAUUAGUGAUUGGUAAAUCAGCUACCAGUACUUAUUUAGCACACGGUUCUCUGACCAAGUUUAUUUUUGUAAUAAUUUUGUGUGUUCAUUUUAUGGCCUUAAAUGCUACUCACCAGAUAUGCAACUCAACUCUUCCUUGCUUUGAUAUGGAUCAAUUCUCUGUUAUCAUUUUGAAUUUGAUUUUUGUCCUUUAUUAGCAAUUCAUAUUUAGAGCCAAUUAUUUGCUCCUCAUUUUUUAUUUCAUUAUCCAUGUUUUAAAAUAAUUUUAAAAUUAUGUUGCUAGAUUUUCUUCCCAGCAAAGGACUGACCUUUGCCUUCACAUUUCUCUGGAUAACUUCCAUGAUUUUCUAUCUGGAGGACAGACUCUCCAUUCUUGCAUUCGUUUUCCUGGUUUGGCCUUUAUGCUCUUUCUGGGUAAACUGGUAUAAUUUCAAUUUUUGAAGCCAUUUAUUUAGCACCCUAUCUUUAAUUCUUUUUAGAAUAAGGCAAGUAUAAGUAAAUAAAUAAAAUUUGAAGUGCAUAUAUCUUGAGCACCUACCAAUUUAGGCGCCAUGCUCUCUGUUGUGAAUACGGAAAUGUAUUGAGUAUUGGUUAGGAUUUGUUUCAGCUGCUAUUAACAGAAACUUAACUACAUGGCUUAAAUACACUCAGAUUUAUUCUCUUGUGUAAAAUAAGAUGGGAGGUAGGCAGCCCGGAGGAGGGGAGCUCCAAAAAGUUAUCAGGGACCCAGGGUCUUUCUUUCUCUCCUAUUUUGAUUUUCACUCAAGGUCAUCUCAUGGCUCCAAGAUAGUUGCUGAAAUAUCAGCUAAUAUAUUUGUAUCCCAGGCAGCAGGAUGAAAGAUGGAAGUGAAGGCAGAGACAGUAUACACCUCUUGCCAUUAAGGAGUCUCCCUAGAGCUCCCCCUUAAAGAUCCUGCUCAAAUUUCAUUUGCCAAAAUUUAGUCACAUACCUAGCUGCACCGAAGGCUGGGAGAUGUUGGUUUCAUUCUAGUGUCACUCGUUCAGCCAAAAAGUUAUGUUAAAGUGUCCAGAUUAGGCCCAAGAUGGAGUCAUUUAUGCUAAGCCUCAUGUCAACAAACCAAAACUCAGUUUCUGUGCUCAGCUCUCUUAGCAAAGGAAGGCCUAGGUCAACCAAUCAGCACUUGCCUCUUAGCACAAGUUACCUCACCUGGCUCCAAGACUGCCCUUUGCUCCUUAUAAGGAAAGUAACCUUGCAGUAACCAAUCCGCUUUUGCCUCCUAUGACUUCCCUGUUUCUGCUCCCUUCUGCCUAUAAAAGCCUUUCAUUUUGUGCUGCUCCUCAGAGCUCCUUUCUGUCUGCUAGAUUAGAUGCUGCCCAGUUGAUGACCCACUGGAUAAAGUCAAUACAGCCAAUCUUUAAAAUUUUACUCAGCUGAAUUUUAUUCUUUAACAGUCAGGAUUCUAAUGCUAAGGAGGAAGGGAAAGAUAAGUUUUAGUGUUCAACUCUGUCACAAAAUGGUUUAUGGCAAUGAGGGGCUCAAAGUUCAGAGGCAACGAUAAACACACAAAUAAUUACAAUAUAGUGAAAUGAGUGUGUAGGGAAGGAAGAUAAAUCCUUUACCUUCUAGGUCCUUCUGGCUGGUCUAUGAAUUAAAUUGGUAUGAGACAGAAUGACGGGAGAGAAUCAAACAAAGCUUUAUAACAUGCAUACAUGGGGGAAACCCAGGAAAACUGAGCAACUCGCCAGAAUGGCUGUGGUUGCCACCUUAAAUAUCAUCUUCAGUUAAAGACAAAGGAGGGUGUUGAGGGUCGGGGGAGUCAGUUAUGGGAGAUUACCAGAAAAAAACACAGCAAGCAAGAGUAUAGUUAUUAUGCAGAUUUAGGUUCUUGCCUUCUGCUUUGAUAAGAGUUUCUAGAGAUAAGGUCAUCCUCCUCUUCCUGGUACAGAGAGGGAGGUAUCUUCACAAAUGGAGAAUUCCCCUACAAAUGUAAAUAUCUCUUACAAAGGGUAACUUCUACUUGGUUUUCAGAGCUUUUCCUAUGUCUGCAGUUUAAAAAAAAAAAAAAUAACCAGCCAAAUAUAACCUCAUGCCAAAAAGACACAUCUUGAAGUGGCAAAUUCUGCUCCCCUACAAGUGCUAAUCAUUUUAAUGUAAAGUUAUUGGUAUCUUUUUAUUUCCCUUCAUUGAUAGAAUUACUCCUCUGUAAAAUGUUCCUUACUCCUUCCGCUGUCUGCUUUCCUCCAGACCCUGCCAUCCUCCAGGCUGAGCCAGGCACAAUGAAAUGUGGCUUUAUCUGAUUUCCCAAAGGAUAGUCUCCAUUGAUUUGCAGGGGCUUAUGUAAAUGUCCGGCCUACAAGUCACAAAUUAGCUUCAGGGUAGGGAGUAGGCCUUGGUUAUCUUUAUGAGAGUGCUUGGCUUGGGAGGUGCUCAAUAGUCGCUGGUAAAAUGAUUUCCUGUGCUUGAAAAAGUGUUUUUUAAAGACCGUCCAGCUCCUUCAGGGUUCUUUGCCACUAAAGAAGAAUGUCCAGCUUAGACCAUCUCCACCAAUGCAGAAUGGCUCUCCCAAAGUUCUGGUCUCACACUGUUGAAGAAAUAGCAUAUUUUAGGUAUAUCCUUUAAUCUCUCUGGCCUGUAUUCUCCUAAUAUUCCUAUCUUGAGUUUUGAGCAUGAACAAAUACGAAAGUCAUAUUACAAAAAUAUUAAUUUUAUGUUUUUUAAAGACUUCAUAAAUCAUGAAUUGACUGUAGGAUUUCUUUGGCAAGGAAAAAACGGUAUAAAUAUAUAUGAUGCAGAUAUUUUUUAUAGGAAAAAUACACUUCAAUGAAGAUCAAAUGAACUAAUAGACAUGAACAAUGCUUUGAAAAUGAUAUCAAGUAUUCUGUGAACAUAAGCAUCAAGGGUUGUACUAUGUUUGUUAUAUUAGUAACAUUUUCAUUAGGAUUUCCAAAGAAAGUAAAGGAGGGAGCUUCUGUUCUUGCCAUUAGGAGGAAACGUACACAAGUAUGAAACCACUG